CUGCCGGACCCCACUGCUAUCGGGAUAGGACUAAGACAUGCUAGUUGAGCGCUUCCAGCCAAUACGGGAGCGCAGCGCACAGCUCAGUAACACGUGGCUAAUCUGCCCUUGGGACCGGAACACCCCCGGGAAACUGGGGCUAAUUCUCGAUAGGUGAAGAACUCUGGAAUGAGUCUUUGCCAAAAAGACGUUUACGUUAUGCUCGUAGGCGUCGCCCAAGGAUGAGGCCGCGACCGAUCAGGUUGUUGGUGAGGUAAUGGCUCACCAAGCCUUUUACCGGUGCGGGCCGUGAGAGCGGGAGCCCGGAGAUGGGCACUGAAACAAGGGCCCAGGCCCUACGGGGCGCAGCAGUCGCGAAAACUUUGCAAUACACGAAAGUGUGACAGGGCUAUCCCGAGUGCCAUCCGCUGAGGAAGGCUUUUACCCAGUCUAGAACGCUGGGGGAAUAAGGAGAGGGCAAGUCUGGUGUCAGCCGCCGCGGUAAUACCAGCUCUCCGAGUGGUGUGGAUGUUUAUUGGGCCUAAAGCAUCCGUAGCUGGCUGAGUUAGUCCCUUGUUAAAUCCACCGAAUUAAUCGUUGGAUUGCGGGGGAUACUGCUCGGCUAGGGGACGAGAGAGGCAGACGGUAUUUCUGGGGUAGGGGUGAAAUCCUAUAAUCCCAGGAGGACCACCAGUGGCGAAAGCUGUCUGCUAGAACGCGCCCGACGGUGAGGGAUGAAAGCUGGGGGAGCGAACCGGAUUAGAUACCCGGGUAGUCCCAGCUGUAAACGAU
rnacentral:rRNA from 1 species